rnacentral:rRNA from 1 species
AGGAUGAACGCUGGCGGCGUGCUUAACACAUGCAAGUCGAACGGUGAAAGAGAGCUUGCUCUCUGGAUCAGUGGCGAACGGGUGAGUAACACGUGAGUAACCUGCCCUUGACUCUGGGAUAAGCACUGGAAACGGUGUCUAAUACCGAAUAUGACCAUGGACUUCACGGUUUGUGGUGGAAAGCUUUUGCGGUGUGGGAUGGGCCCGCGGCCUAUCAGCUUGUUGGUGGGGUAAUGGCCUACCAAGGCGACGACGGGUAGCCGGCCUGAGAGGGUGACCGGCCACACUGGGACUGAGAUACGGCCCAGACUCCUACGGGAGGCAGCAGUGGGGAAUAUUGCACAAUGGGCGCAAGCCUGAUGCAGCGACGCCGCGUGAGGGAUGACGGCCUUCGGGUUGUAAACCUCUUUCAGUAGGGACGAAGCGCAAGUGACGGUACCUAUAGAAGAAGGACCGGCCAACUACGUGCCAGCAGCCGCGGU